UAAAUCUUGGCACGUUAUUCUAGUCCAAGGACUUAUUAGGAAGACGGGAUUAAACAACCGUUAAGAGCAUACCUGUGAAACCUUUGGUGUUUGCUUCCUGUGCCCAACAGGGGGUGAAUGCUGAAGAUGUAAAGGUACUGGGCGACCGUAAUGGCAUACGCAAUCGACCCAUUGCCUGCUUGGAGACCUAGCUUCGUGGCUGGCCUAAACGGACAACUCUGAUGGACCAGUUACGACCUAGGAUAAAACCUAUAUGUGGCGUAAGUUAUGUGUAGUGUAGCUUGUCUUGCGUGAAGUAAUGGGGAUUAAUGAUCUUAUCUAUAAGAUAGGCCAAUCGAAUAGAUAUGCGUUAUGAAACAUACUUUGCAAAAAAGAACUAAUAAUAAGAAAUUGGUGAGGAAAUCUCCUAGAACGUAUAUAACAUGGGAUUGCAGUGAAUACUAAGUGGUAAUCAAGUCAUACAAAUGGUGACAUUGUAUUAAUUCUUAUAAUGGGGAACCGCAUUUCUGGUAACGGAAAUGUAAGAAUUAGAGAAACUCUACUUGACCUAAGAUUCAAAGUUUACCAUGUUAUAGCCAAUAGUAUUUU
rnacentral:sRNA from 1 species